AAGCCCAGGUCAAGGCCCUAACAAAAGGGCCCGCCUAUGGCCACAGUUUCAGGCCCUCCUUUCAGUCAUGGACUGUUGAAGCACGAUUUCCUGGUGCUUUCGCCCCUUUCACCGACCAUUUCAAGAGUCCGUAGUUCUCGCCUGGGUUUGGAUUCGGUAUAAGUGAGCCUGUUUACCAUCAAAGAAAAUGGUGAAAUGUCUUCUGGAGACGAUGUUCUCUUCUGGUUCUAACCCUGUCACUCAGUGAGACCCCCAGAGAAGCCUAGUUUUCAGAUUAUUCUAGUCCUUGGCAGGCUCAAGAUGUCAACAACACGGUUGGAAACAACCCCUGAGAGGUCACAUAGCGCGCACUCAGCUUUACAGAUCGUCCAAGGCAGCGACCCCUGAGAGGUCACAUAGCGCGCACUCAGCUUUAUAGAUCGUCCAAGGCAGCAAUUAGAAUCAGCAACUCGGAGAGGAAAAAAAGCUGUUAGCGGAAUGGAGGCUGACCAUUAUCUGUAGUAAAGAAUCGGAAGUACAGUACAAAAAUAAAUUACCGAAACGCAACAUGCGUGAAUUUCACACAAAAAAAUGAAGUUGAGGGAAAGAAGCCAGACAUGGAAGAGUUCAUAUUGCGUGGUUCCAUUUAAAAACUAGCCCAUGGUGUUAAUGAGCAUAGUGGGGAGGACAAUGACAUGAAAGAGCCACCAGGGGGCUUUUGAGGUUCAGGAUCCCCAGCCAGUGAGCCUAAAAUGGGUAGAAGGAAAAGAUAUUUCUUACCCUACGCACCCAGGUCCAAGUCAUCAUUAUUUUGUCUGAAAUUUAUCUUCCUAACUGAUUUCUCUGCUUCCCCAUUGUGCCUUAAGAGUUAGUUUUCCACAGAGCAGCUCGAGAUAUCUUUUCAGAUCAUUAUAUCCCUUUGCUUAAAAACCUCUAACAGCUUCCUAUUAGGCUUAGAAUAAAGUACAAACUCCUUAAUGUGAACUUGAGUGUUUUACGUAUCUUAUCUCACCUUUAUGAGCUUCAUGUCAGAACCCAUCUCUCACCACUCUUCCUUCCCCGCUCCCUGAUUUAAACAGUCUGGCACUUUACUUAUUCAUUGAACCCACUGGGUUUGCUCUUGCCUCCAAGUCUGUACCCAGCUUUCUCUCUACCUGUAAUCCUCUUCCUCUAGGUCAUCACACAGAUCGUUUCUUCACUCUAUUUAGGUCUUUCAGAAGUAACACUAAGGGAGGCUUUUCCAGACAAUAUUAUGCAAAUAUAAAUGGACAUGUGACAAAUACUUUAUUCGACUUAUUAGUUACUGAGAGUGUAUUUGAGUAGCCAGGUAUUUAUAGGCAAUUUAACAAUGUAAUGUUAGUAUAAGGUGGCAAGGUUAGAUAUAAACCUGUUAAUGUCUCACAGGGUAAUAAACUAUAACUUUUGGUGUUAUCUGUUCCACUGGAAAGGAAGUAGGGAUUUGCAUUCUUACUGGACAAAAAUCUACAAGUUAAUGUAUAGAUUCAGUAUAGGACUUUUAAAUCAAUAGUGAACGAUGAAAUGAACAAAGUACAAUCCCCUAGUCCUUGGUUUGACACUGAAAGGACAUGCCACUCACCUUUUUGCCUUGUUUCCAAAGUUUGGAAUAAUUUUCCUUUCAAAAUGAAAUUAUUUCUCAUUCAGUUGUCCUAUUGCAGGCAGCCUUUACUGCUUCCCCCAGUUAAUGUACCUGUCAAGCUUACUCAUGAUUUCCUAACUGCCAAAUUCAAUGGAUAUUUUUAAUUUUUUUUUUGCUAUGACUCAUACUGUUCCCUUCGGGCUUGUCAGCAGAUAAAUGACCUUCUGGGGACUGUGCAAAAUAUGGAAUGCUUAAUGAAUUUGUGUGUUAUUCUUGUGCAGGGGACACAACAGUCUUCUCUGUAGAUUACAGUUUUAGUGUAUGUGCUGUUGAAGUGAGCACUUCUGAGUAAUUUUGAUUGUUUUACUUUUUAUGUAAAAUUUCACAUUGUUUAAAACACCAGAUGGGGGCCAGGCAUGGUGGCUCAUGCCUGCAAUCCCAGCACUUUGGGAGGCUGAGGCGAGUGGAUUGCUUGGGCUCAGGAGUUUGAGACCAGCCUUGCCAUGUGGCAAAACCUUGUCUCUAUAAAAAAUAGAAAUAUCAGCCAGGCAUGGUGGUGUAUGCCUGUAGUCCCAGCUACUUGGGAGGCUGAGGUGGGAGGCACUUGAGCCUGGGAGGUGGAGGUUGAAGUGAGCUGAGAUCACGCCACUGCACUCCAGCCUGGGUGACAGAGCAAGACCAUCUCAGAAAACAAACAAACAAAAAAUACCACAUGGCCAAAUGAAAGAUGUCUGUGGUCUGAAUUUGGGCCAAAAGCUGUAAUCUUACAGUCUUUGAUUAUUUUUUAAUACAUGCUGAAUUCCAAGAGGAGCUGACAAAUCUCUUGAGAUUUCACUUGGGUUCCAUGGAUUCCCAGCACAAAAUGCAAAUGCAAAUGAGAUAUGAUUGGGAUUCUCUGCACACUAUCUCCACUUUCAUAAGUGCCUCUGAAGUUUAGUUUGAAUUUUAUAGUAUCUCCUACCUUGCUGUACCUUAAAGGACUAACAGCAGCUACCUGACCCAGGAUUAGCCAGUCAUAUUUUUUCCAGAAUUUGUAAUUGGAACAAUUGAGAUGGUAGUCUUCUGCUGGUAGUUUGAAGAGAGGAUAUGUAAACUUGGUAGCUGUGUACUUAGAAGCAGAGAAAGCCUGUUUUCAGAGAGAAGAAUGAAGCAGGUAAGUCAUCUGGAAGGACAAGCAGAAGCACAAUUUUGGGAACAGUUGCUUUCAGAGUCCUGAUGGCAUUCCAGCCCCUUGUCCUAGUGCCAGUUCAGGCCCAAGUGUUUGGCCUUUGGGACCUAUGAUACAGAUAUCCUAUUUCCUUUUAAUUAAUUGCCUCUUAAAAUUACUAUUAUUAAGCUAGCUUGCAAGGGUUUCUGUUACGUGGAAUCAAGGAACCUCAGUAGAGAGGAAAAUGAAGCACUUUGUGGUGGUGCUGCACAGGGUAUCAUUUUGCAGGGUAUAUACUGUGUGUUUUCUACGUUGACUGGAGUCUGGGGUCAGGUGUAAGAAGUGUUACAUAAACAUUGGGUUCAAAUGAGUCAGAAUAAAGUCAACUAAAAAAAUAAAAAAGACAUACAUGGACUUCAGAACAAAUGUUUAUUACUGCUUAAUGGGGCCAAAGGGGCAACACAAAGCAUUGAAAACAUCACUGGCUCACAAAAACAGUCACCUUGUUACCUUCUCAGUUGCAUUUGUUUAUUUCACAAGGCUUCAUUCACACAUAAAAACAAGAUACUAAUCCAAUUCAAGUUCAUAACGAUUAUAAAAGUAAACAUUUGUUGGGACAAUGUACAAUAAAUUGCACUUUUUAGACAAGCAUUACAUUUACAUUUAUAGAGUGUACUAUACAUAAUACAUGGAAUUACGGAAACGUCUAAUUGGUCAUUGUUUAUAGAGGAAGAGGCUGAUCACUAACGUUUAUUUUGUAGUUAAUUAGUACUGUUCAGACUAAUCAACUCCUUUAUUCUAGAACCUGUUUUCAUUAGAGAUGCCAUGGACAAAAUAAUGGAAUUCAUAAAAAUAGACAAUUCCAGAAUCUCUACUACCUCCUCUGCAAGGGAAAGGUAGGAGUUAGAAAGAAAGGAAGUGGGGCUGACUGAGAAACUUUGUCCCUCAUUUGAACUAAGGAUCCAUGCAUUAUGCAAAAUACCAAAAAUAGAGAAACUGAUACAAAAGGCUUUUGGGACAUCUUGGAUCUGGGACCAUCUCCAGCCUUAUUCUUGUGCUUUCAUGACACCAGAGUCUUUCGAUGCAUUUAUAUUCUCACAAUUCAGUCCAUAUAUUUUAUCCCAUAUAUAAUAUAUAGUUAUUAAAAGUUAUACAGUUUAAUGGAAAAGAUUUUACAUGUUAACUAAUUGCCAAUGAAAAAGGAAAAUAACUUAAAAUGUUCACUUUCUACUCAAUGAUUCUUUUUUCUUAAGCUUUUCAGAAUACCACUAAUGACAAACCAGAGAUGGAGGUAGGAAGAAUGGGAUAUAUUAAUGAAAUGUUUUUAUAGCAGGCAGCAAAUUCAGGUGGAGAUAAGCUUGACAUAUGUAGUCUUUUAGAUGCAAACUGAGAAAGGAAUGCCAGACAGCUGACUGCAGUCACUAAAAUCUCCUAUAUGCCCACUUUUCUCAUUACAACUCAAGAUCAGCAUCUCCUAUUGAGGUGCAGCCAAGGUUGAAGUCCUCAUUUUGGUCACUUUUGAAAGAUAAAGAAUUUGCUAAGGUAAAGGGCUUUGCCUGUAUUAAAUGGAAGCCAUUAUGAGAGAGGAAGAAUGUGUUGGGACAGUUCUAGUUCAGUGUGACUAUCAGCAUGGCGACGAGAAAGAGUUUUAUAUCUGGUUGUAGGAAACAGGCUGCAGAGCUGUGGUCUGGCCUUCUGGCUUUCAUCAUCAUUUCUUGAAAUCUCAAUGUGUAUUUGGUUGUGUGGUACCCAGGUAAACAAAAGCAGCAGAGAUACUCUAUAUAAAAUUCUUCCAAUUAAACACACAUACAAACCUAAUAGUGUUCAAAUCAUACAACAGAAUUUCUUCACACUCAUUUGUAAUUGGAGAAAAGGAGUCAGUAUUUUGGAGUGUUUUUAAGGGCAAGUUAUAUAAUAUAAUCAUCUUGCUAAUCAAGUAAAAGUGUUCUUUCCCAGAAGAUAAAACAAAACCAAGGCAUUUAAUUUUUUAAAAGUUUUUUCCCUUAAAGGGGCCCCCCUAAUCAGGCAGGUACCUAAGUGUUUGAUGCAAAGGUUGGUGGGAGAGUUAGUAGACAGAUUUUAGUGAAAGUAUGAAGACUUAAACCCCUACAUCAGUUACACAUGUGAUUCUCCUGGGUGACUGGCUCACUCCUUUAAAGAUGUAACUCUAUCUCCUCUGCCCAAAUCUGUAUUGUUUUCCGUUGGUUUUCUCACUUCAGCUAGGAAAUAAAGCAACUAGUUAUUAACUGGAAAAUAUUUUAAGAAAAUGGAGCAGGGGUUGGAGAAAAAUAAAUAUUAAUACAUCAUAGGAAAAAAAUGAAACAAGAUACAUACUAUUAAAUAUCCCCACAUCCAUACAAAGGUUGCUUUUCUACUUUACUCAGGACAUUUCAGAAAGCCAAUGAAGAAGUACUAAUUUAACAGCUGGGAGAGGGGCAGAAGACACUGGUUGAAUGGCAUUCCUAUUAGUGUUCCUGAUAGGCACUCAUAAAUAAACAGAACAUUAAGUAACAGAAUUUCUUUGCAUUAAAUUAUAUGUAACUAAAUAAAACCAAAUUUUGACAUGGUUCAGGAUGUGGGAAGCUAGCAAACAUAUGCACUGCAAAAUCCAGCUUGGUUUCUUUCAGAUUUAAAGACGUGUUUAGAUUCUCAAGAUACAAAAGCUGAUGAACUGAAUUAUGAAGUUGAAUUUCAUUCAUUUAAUUUUUUCCACAGAAUUUAAUGAAAAUAGAAAUGAUCAAUUCUUAGAUACUGCAAAUAUUAGAUUUUCAGAGGAAUGUUUUGUACAGAGUGCAUCCUAGCAAAGGAUGAAAAACACUAGAAUGUUUUGAAACUUUCCUGGAUAUUUGGCUGGUUAAUCUCUUCUAAGUGAAAUUCAAGAGAAGAGAUGCAAUUCUCAAAUAUAUCUCAAAAUAACUAAAAUUAAAACUAGGAGUUACUUCAUGCUGGGAUGCAUGAGUUUUCCAACAAUAGACAGUGAAGGACAUAUUGUUUGGAAUAUUGCUAUUAUAACAUAUUGUAUGAACAAUCAUAUCACAUACCAAAUUCUGAAUUUUCUUUGUUUCUAGUCUUUACUAUUGCUACUGACUCAAAGGCAUUGCAGUGAAGGAGAGUUUAGGCUUAUGGUACCAACAGGCAUACCCAAGUAUGAUAUGGGGCUGGAGAAUAAAAAAA
rnacentral:lncRNA from 1 species